rnacentral:rRNA from 1 species
CUCCAAUAGCGUAUAUUAAAGUUGUUGCAGUUAAAAAGCUCGUAGUUGGAUCUAGGGACGCGCAUUUAUAAGCGUCGCAUGUUGUCGGGUCAAACCGGUGAUGUGUCGGCGUUGCGGGCUCGGUCCGCUGGAGGACCAGCGUGUCAACCGGCCCGCCCGUCCCCUCCUUCUGGAUUCCCGUUCCUGCUAUUGAGUUAGUGGGGACGUCACAGGGGAUUGUCUUUGGGUAUUGGCCGUUAAAAAGUCAGUACUCGGGGACAGUUUCUGGGGCCCAGAUCGUUUACCGUGAAAAAAUUAGAGUGUUCAAAGCAGGCAGACAUUAAUCUCUGCCACCGAAUACAUUAGCAUGGGAUAAUGGAAUAGGACCCUGUCCUCCUAUUUUCAGUUGGUUUUCGAGGACCAGGGUAAUGAUUAAUAGGGAUAGUUGGGGGCAUUAAUAUUUAAUUGUCAGAGGUGAAAUUCUUGGAUUUAUGAAAGAUUAACUUCUGCGAAAGCAUCUGCCAAGGAUGUUUUCAUUAAUCAAGAACGAAAGUUAGGGGAUCGAAGACGAUCAGAUACCGUCGUAGUCUUAACCAUAAACGAUGCCGACCAGCGAUUAGGAGACGUUGAAUACAAAACACCACCAUCAGGCGGGUCGUUCCUGGCUAGUUUCGCGCAAGCGGGGCUAGUGGGAGCGAUUCGUUUUCCUGAUGGCCCGGUGAAUGACUCCCCUAGCAGCUUGUGAGAAAUCAUAAGUCUUUGGGUUCCGGGGGGAGUAUGGUCGCAAGGCUGAAACUUAAAGGAAUUGACGGAAGGGCACCACCAGGAGUGGAGCCUGCG